ensembl:lncRNA
AGUGGAAGUGAUGGGCCAUGGAGCUAUUCAUUUGUAGCAUCAAGAAUACAAGUCAACAAUUUACUGUGGAGAUACCAAAGGCUGGGGAAGUGGACUUUACCUUUGUCAGUGGGUAUCUUGUUGGCCAGGCUACUGAAGUCUCUGAUUAAGAAAGCAUGGAACCAAAGACAAGAAAACACAAAAAUAACUGGAAAAUUCCCUAUCAUAUGAUGCAAGACUGAAGCGUAAAAAAUUAUAACACAAGGCAGAGAACAUUCCAUUCUCCCAGAGGAUCUCUAAAGGAAUGGAUGAGGAACAACAAUUAAGUAGUGAAGUCUGCUUCACUAUGCACUCUCUGGAUUAUCCUCGUAUCAUCAUGAGCACUUCCCUGUAGCCUCAAAACUACAGAAAAAGGUGAAUUCUGACAUGCUCGCUAAAAAAUACAUGACAGAAAAGUUUUUGUUACAUAUGAAGAAAAGCAAAAGACACCAUCAUUAAUGGAAGAUCUUUA